rnacentral:rRNA from 1 species
AUUGAACGCUGGCGGCAGGCCUAACACAUGCAAGUCGAACGAGCGGCGGACGGGUGAGUAAUGUCUGGGAAACUGCCCGAUGGAGGGGGAUAACAACUGGAAACGGUAGCUAAUACCGCAUACCAUCAGAUGUGCCCAGAUGGGAUUAGCUUGUUGGUGUGGUAACGGCUCACCAAGGCGACGACCCCUAGCUGGUCUGAGCGGAUGACGAGCCACACUGGAACGGAGACACGGCCCAGACUCCUACGGGAGGCAGAAGUGGGGAAUAUUGUAAAAUGGGCGCAAGCCUGAUGAAGCCAGGCCGCGUGUAUGAAGAAGGCUUUCGGGUUGUAAAGUACUGUCAGCGGGGAGGCGUUACCCGCAGAGGAAGCACCGGCUAACUCCGUGCCAGAAGCCGCGGUAAUUC